UUGAUUUAUUUGCCUGUGCCACUCAGAUAAUACCACGAAAUACUAUGGUUUUUUGGCCUCCGGCGGGCGCCUUGGUCCGGGCCCGGGGGCGCCGGGGCGUGACCGCCGAAGCAACGAUAGGUAUAGUUCACAGGGGUUUGGGAGUUGUAAACUCGGUAAUGAUCCCUCCGCUGGUUCACCAACGGAGA
rnacentral:misc_RNA from 1 species